UACGUAGGUGGCGAGCGUUGUCCGGAUUUACUGGGCGUAAAGGGAGCGCAGACGGAACUGCAAGUCUGAUGUGAAAGCCCGGGGCUCAACCGCGGGACUGCAUCGGAUACUGUGGAUCUGGAGUGCCGGAGGGGCAAGCGGAAUUCCUAGUGUAGCGGUGAAAUGCGUAGAUAUUAGGAGGAACACCAGUGGCGAAGGCGGCUUUCUGGACUGUAACUGACACUGAGGCAUGAAAGCGUGGGGAGCAAACAGGAUUAGA
rnacentral:rRNA from 1 species